AUUGAACGCUGGCGGCAGGCCUAACACAUGCAAGUCGAGCGGAUGAAGGGAGCUUGCUCCUGGAUUCAGCGGCGGACGGGUGAGUAAUGCCUAGGAAUCUGCCUGGUAGUGGGGGAUAACUUCCGGAAACGGGCGUUAAUACCGCAUACGUCCUGAGGGGGAAAGUGGGGGAUCUUCGGACCUCACGCUAUCAGAUGAGCCUAGGUCGGAUUAGCUAGUUGGUGGGGUAAAGGCCUACCAAGGCGACGAUCCGUAACUGGUCUGAGAGGAUGAUCAGUCACACUGGAACUGAGACACGGUCCAGACUCCUACGGGAGGCAGCAGUGGGGAAUAUUGGACAAUGGGCGAAAGCCUGAUCCAGCCAUGCCGCGUGUGUGAAGAAGGUCUUCGGAUUGUAAAGCACUUUAAGUUGGGAGGAAGGGCAGUAAGUUAAUACCUUGCUGUAUUGACGUUACCAACAGAAUAAGCACCGGCUAACUUCGUG
rnacentral:rRNA from 1 species